rnacentral:rRNA from 1 species
AUUGAACGCUGGCGGCAGGCCUAACACAUGCAAGUCGAACGAGUGGCGGACGGGUGCGUAAUGUAUGGGAAACUGCCUGAUGGAGGGGGAUAACUACUGGAAACGGUAGCUAAUAACGCAUACCAUCAGAUGUGCCCAAAUGGGAUUAGCUUGUUGGUGGGGUAACGGCUCACAAGGGCGACGAUCCCUGGCUGGUCUGAGAGGAUGACCAGCCCAAACGGAACUGAGACACGGUCCCGACUCCUACGGACGGCAGCAGUGGGGAAUAGUGCACAAUGCUCGCAAGCCUGAUGCAGCCAUGCCGCGUGUAUGAAGAAGGCCUGCGGGUUGUAAAGUACUUUCAGCGGGGAGGCGUUACCCGCAGAAGAAGCACCGGCUAACUCCGUGCCAGCAGCCGCGGUAAUUC